rnacentral:rRNA from 1 species
CCUACGGGAGGCAGCAGUGGGGAAUAUUGCACAAUGGGGGAAACCCUGAUGCAGCGACGCCGCGUGAGUGAAGAAGUAUUUCGGUAUGUAAAGCUCUAUCAGCAGGGAAGAAAAUGACGGUACCUGACUAAGAAGCCCCGGCUAACUACGUGCCAGCAGCCGCGGUAAUACGUAGGGGGCAAGCGUUAGCCGGAUUUACUGGGUGUAACGGGAGCGUAGACGGCCAGACAAGUCAGAAGUGAAAGCACAGGGCAAAACCCUGGGAAUGCUUUUGAAACUGCCGGGCUGGAGUGCAGGAGAGGUAGGGAGAAUUCCGGGGGUAGCGGUGAAAUGCGGAGAUAUUAGGAGGAAUACCAGUGGCGAAGGCGGCUGACUGGACUGUAACUGACGUUGAGGUUCGAAAGCGUGGGGAGAAAACAGGAUUAGAUACCCCAGUAGUC